AUUUUCAAAAUAAAUUCGAUUCCAAAAAUCACAAACACACCGAACCUUGUAUGCGUCUGCGACGAUGACCUCGCCGUGGAGUCCGAAAGCGAUUCCGAGCGGUCUACCGCCGGUGUUGACCCAAUCCUCAACGACCGAGUCAUUAGCUGAGUCGAGGACCUUGACUCGUUUCACCCAUCCAUCUACACAGCCUGUAUAGAUGAGGCCUGAGUCUCUGUGGUAGGCUAUAUCCUCUGGAUUAUUGAGAAGACCAGCACCGAUAAACUCGGCUCCGGUGAGUAAUCCGUCGUUGAGAAGCGGCGGGAUGGAAUUAGUGGAGUAGGCUAAUGCUUCAGCGGGAAGGGGAGCUGGGUCAAAGGUGUCGAGUCGGUAGAGAGCGAUAGAAGCUAGGAAUGGGAUGAUGGUGGAGAAGAAGAGAAAACGUGGGGAGAAGAAGAAUAUAGCCAUUGGAGAAAGGAUUGGCUUUGUGGAGAAUAGUGAGCAGCACCAAAAAUUUUGAGUGAUAGUAGAGAAACACGUUUUGAUUGAUGUUGCAAUCGCAGAUACCAAUCGAUGACUCGAGGAAUCUUUGAAUCCAUUUGCUCCGUGGUACGUAACGUAUUCAUUCACUGGUCCUAUGUUUUGGGCUUUACCAGCAGACCCGAUAUGUUAAUGAUUUGGGCCUGCAACAUCAGGCUCUGUUUCCAAUCACUACAUACAGAGAAGAAGAAGAAACAUACAUAUGAUCAAUUGGGUUUUGAGUGCAAUGAUUUAUGUUACAACUGUACUAGUGUGGUCCUUGUCAUUUUGUAAGCAGGUUUAUAUGCUUAUCAUUUUCUAUGUAAGAAUGUGUCUAACUUACACCUAGUAUAUUUUCAAAUCAAUAUUUCAUGCUACUAAAAAACAAAAUGUCCUAAUAUUCAGAAAGAUCCUAUGAUCAUCAUCAUUCUCAGGGGCGAUGAGUUUACAUGUAUGGCAGAGAAAAGAUGGUAAAUAUAAUAGUUCAAAGCCUCUUCUAUCGUGCAGGAUAUUUGAGGAGAUCGAGUCGGAUAAUGUGGGAAUGCAAGAGAGUCCCACAAUAGAGAUAUUUCCCAAUCUUGACUCCGCUGGUUAUGUGAGAUAUUUUAUGAUCAUGGUACAAUGCGAUGGGCUUCCCAUACAAAUCAACCUGCAAAACGCCAGCAUUUUCCAUAAACAUGGGUUCGAAGCCGUACUUAGCCGCCAUGCCUGUGAGUUUCCUCACGAAAGGGUACUGCAUCGAGACCUUCCACAACGUUGUUGCUGCCUGUUUUGCAAAACAGUUAGCCAAAAAAAGAUGGUAAUCAAAGCUCAAUCAUAAAGUUAAAAGAUUUCAAUUUGUCAAAAAAAAUACCGAAGGCAUUGCAAUCCAGUAAUGUCCAUCUCCAUCGUACCGGAUGUUAUCUGGAUAACCGGGUAAGUCUUGAAUGAAUAACUCAACACGCUCCUCGUUGAUGUAAUACUUGCUGCAUCUUCUUCUGAGAAGAACAAGAAAACAACUUGAGAUGAUGAUGAUUCAAUUCACUGCACAGAGGUGAAAUUACAUAGAGAAAGAGAAAGAGAAAUUACACAGGGGUUUCGCAGAAGACGAAAUGGGUUUGAUCGGGAGACAUAGAGACGCCAUUAGCGAAGUAGAGGUCUCUAAGGAGGACACGUGUGGUUCUUGUGGUGGGGUCAAAGCUCAAGAGCCGGCCAUGUGGUUUGCCUUCCAAAAUAUCAAAGGCGAAUUGAUGGAGAUUGUAUUUGUAAGAACCAUCUGUGAAAUACAUAACGCCGUUAUCUCCAACGGCGACUGCAUCCGUGAUCUUAAAUCUCACUCCUUCCGCUUCAUCCGUCAAUAAUUCCGUCUUCUUCCCGUCAUUGCUUAUAUUCAACAGUCCCUAAAUACACACACACACACACACAAAUCAUCUCGUGAUUCUGAGUUUUUUCAAAACCCAGAUUCUCAAAAUCACGCACCAAACCUUGUAUGCGUCUGCGACGAUGACUUCGCCGUGGAGUCCGAAAGCGAUUCCGAGCGGUCUACCGCCGGUAUUGACCCAAUCCUCUACGACCGAGUCAUUAGCUGAGUCGAGGACCUUGACUCGUUUCACCCAUCCAUCUACACAGCCUGUAUAGAUGAGACCUGAGUCUCGGUGAUAAGCGAUAUCCUCGGGGCUAUUGAGAAGAGCGACGCCGAUAAACUCGGCUCCGGUGAGUAAUUGGUCGUUGAGAAGCGGCGGGGUGGAGUUAGUGGAGUAGACUAAUGCAUCGGCAGGAAGCGGAGCUGGGUCAAAGGUGUCGAGUCGGUAGAGAGCGAUAGAGACGAGGAAGGGGAUGAUGGUGGAGAAGAAGAGGAAACGUGGGGAGAAGAAGAACAGAGCCAUUUGAGAAAGGAUUGGGU
rnacentral:lncRNA from 1 species